rnacentral:lncRNA from 1 species
CAUGAUGGUGGGCAAGAGCAGCAAGAUGUUGCAGAACAUUGACUACAGGAUGAGGUGCAUCCUGCAAGAUGGCCGGAUCUUCAUUGGGACCUUCAAAGCCUUUGACAAGCACAUGAAUUUGAUUCUGUGUGACUGUGAUGAGUUUGUGAAGAUCAAGCCAAAGAACUCCAAACAAGCAGAAAGGGAAGUGAAGUCCUUGGUCUGGUAUUGCUUUGCAGGGAGAACCUGGUCUCCAUAACAGUAGAAGGACCUCCUCCCAAAGACACCGGCAUGGCCACUUGUUGGAGCUCCUGGGGGACCAAGCAUCAGCAGGGCUGCUGGCAGAGGAAUCCCAGCAGGUGUUCCCAUGCCCCAGGCUCCUGCAGGAAUUGCUGAGCCAGUCUGAGAUGUUGGAGGGCCAUCCCAACAGGUAAUGACCCCACAAGGAAGAGGCACUGUUGUAGCUAUUGCAGCUGCAGCCACAGCCACAGCCAGUAUUGCAGGAGCCCCAAGUCAGUACUGACCUGGUUGUGGGGGUCCUCCUCUAUCUAUGGGUCCAGGGUCCCCUACUCCAGGUAUGAUGGGCCAACCUCCUGGCAUGCGGCCUCCCCUGGGGCUCCCUCCUGGCCAAGGAACUCCAAUGGGCAUGCCCCCUCCUGGGAUAUGACCUCCUCCUCCAGGAAUGCCAGGUCUG